rnacentral:SRP_RNA from 1 species
CAGUGGGCCUCAUGUUCUGUUGCCUUCCGAACCUGGUCAGGACUGAGAAGUAGCAGCCAUAAGGAAUGUGCGCAGGUUCAUGGGUAAACCUGCUGUGA